UACGUAGGGACCAAGCGUUGUUCGGAUUUACUGGGCGUAAAGGGUGCGUAGGCGGGUUUUUAAGUCAGGGGUGAAAUCCUGGAGCUCAACUCCAGAACUGCCUUUGAUACUGAAGAUCUUGAGUCCGGGAGAGGUGAGUGGAACUGCGAGUGUAGAGGUGAAAUUCGUAGAUAUUCGCAAGAACACCAGUGGCUAAGGCGGCUCACUGGCCCGGUACUGACGCUGAGGCACGAAAGCGUGGGGAGCAAACAGG
rnacentral:rRNA from 1 species